UACCAACCACAGACUGGGGUUGCUGCUC
rnacentral:piRNA from 1 species